rnacentral:piRNA from 1 species
UAUGUCAUAUGAAAGUAUUUUGUACUCUGC